rnacentral:rRNA from 1 species
UACGGGGGGAGCAAGCGUUGUUCGGAUUUACUGGGCGUAAAGGGCGCGUAGGCGGCGCAACAAGUCACUUGUGAAAUCUCCGGGCUUAACCCGGAGCGGCCAAGUGAUACUGUCGUGCUAGAGUGCGGAAGGGGCUACUGGAAUUCUCGGUGUAGCGGUGAAAUGCGUAGAGAUCGGGAGGAACACCGGUGGCGAAGGCGACUCGCUGGACAGGUAUUGACGCUGAGGUGCGAAAGCGUGGGGAGCAAACAGG